rnacentral:misc_RNA from 1 species
AACGCAAAUUGCACUUCCUGGUAUUCCGGGGAGUAUGCCUGUUUGAGGGUCGCCUAAAUAAUAACAUCGAUUAGCGUUGCUUUUUUUUCGAAAGUGAUGUUUAUCGGAUUUGAGUCGUCUUUAUUUUUUUUAGUAAAUGAAGUGGCUUAAAAUUCAUUUUUCCGGUAUCAUCGAAAGCGUAUUUUUACGAUCAAUUUUUGGUCAAAGGAAACGUUUCGGAUGCCACCUUUUUUAAUGUAAUACGGUUUGACUAUGUGUGUAAUCUAGUUCAAUUCGUAUACGAUUCUUUUUCAUUUUUUGACCUCAAAUCAGGUAAGAAUACCCGCUGAACUUAA